AGCGGACGCUGGCGGCAGGCCUAACACAUGCAAGUCGAACGAACUCUUCGGAGUUAGUGGCGGACGGGUGAGUAACACGUGGGAACGUGCCUUUAGGUUCGGAAUAACUCAGGGAAACUUGUGCUAAUACCGAAUGUGCCCUUCGGGGGAAAGAUUUAUCGCCUUUAGAGCGGCCCGCGUCUGAUUAGCUAGUUGGUGAGGUAAAGGCUCACCAAGGCGACGAUCAGUAGCUGGUCUGAGAGGAUGAUCAGCCACAUUGGGACUGAGACACGGCCCAAACUCCUACGGGAGGCAGCAGUGGGGAAUCUUGCGCAAUGGGCGAAAGCCUGACGCAGCCAUGCCGCGUGAAUGAUGAAGGUCUUAGGAUUGUAAAAUUCUUUCACCGGGGACGAUAAUGACGGUACCCGGAGAAGAAGCCCCGGCUAACUUCGUGCCAGCCGCCGCCGUAACAC
rnacentral:rRNA from 1 species